GGUCGCGUGGCCCAAUGGCAAGGCGCUUGACUACGAUCCGAUCAGAAAUCACGUGAUCAAGAGAUUGCAGGUUCGAUCCCUGCCGCGAUCA